rnacentral:hammerhead_ribozyme from 1 species
GCACUGCUGAGGAGAUCCAUAAUAGAACGAAACGGCCGUCCAGUGC